GUAUCAAGUUUUUUUGUUGGACUUAUCUUUUGUUGGGUCAUUUAGGUUCUGGACUCUGAAGUGUGAUCCCUUUAAUCACUCCCUCUCUCUGUCUUCUGAAUCUCUCCCUUUCCAGAAAAAUAAUUCAUGGAGCUUUGGAUUUCUUCAAUAUUUAUUUGUAUUUGGUUAGAUCACCAUGUGUUUUCAGGUUUUCGUUCUUUACUUGAUGGAGUUUUGCAGGUUUAGAUAGAGCUUUUAGGCUUUUGGAGAAGAAGGAAAAGAUGGAAGGAAAAACUUAGAAGAGAAAAACCGAGUUUGCGUUUUUUUUUUUCUUCCUACGCUCUUCUGUGCAGAUUGUGUUCCAGAGAUUUCAUCCAGGCUACAUCUCUAGCUUGAAGCUAGUUUGCUCGAUCAGAUCCGAGGGUUGAUGCAUUUGUGAAGAUUUUUUGGUUGCACAUUUCUAUCUUGUGAGCUACAAGAUGAAGAUGAAUUGCUGUAAAAUAUGCUGAAGAGGCUCACCAAGUCAUGGUGGGGUAGUUUGGAAAGCAUCUCUAGUAAGUUUUUCUAAUUGUCAUUAUCUUCUGUUUUGUUUUGAAUAGGUUCUGAAUAUAAAAUUAGUUACUGGCUGUGUUUCUUGGUGUUGGUAACUUAACUCAUUUACGAUUAUGUAUGUUUAAUUCAUCUUAGUCCUGCAAGUGUGGACCUUUAAAACGUUUUGCAUAGAUUCAUACAUUCUUUCGCGUGUGAAAACCAUCUCGACCAGAGAUGAUACAAACUUGACCUUGAUUGUUACAUGUAUACAACUUAUCCACUUACAUAAAAUGAAUUCUUAUCACAAUUCAAUAUUUUACAAGUCCUAAUUUUUUAAAAAUUAAAAUUAUAAAACAAAAAUGACAAGUGUGUUUCUUUCUUUAAUGUAAAGAAUAAAAAGUACUUCCUAUUUCCUUCCUUUUAUUAUAGAGAUUUCUUAGCAUUAAAACCAUAUGCUGCGAAAAUGUGUUGUGAGGCUCGCUAACGUGUACUGCCUGACUAAAAAUGACCUGAAGAAAGCCUGUCUCUGCAUCGCCGGUGAAGCUUGUCAAGCUGGCGGAUGGCUCCUACUAUAGAUUACCAUUGUUAACCUUUGGAAGCUUCCUCCCUUCUCAAUUUCAAUCCAUCCCGGAGAAGACUGAAAGAGGGGAAUCUGAGACAGACUCACAAAAAUCAAUUCGACUACAUGGAUUUGAGGACUCUGACGCCUCGCUGGCAGCUCGUCAGAUGAAAUUUUCUGAAGCUCUUACCUCAUCCCAUCCUACUCUAACUGAGAAGACGGAUUUUCGUGAGAAUCGGCUAGCUCAACGAGAAUUGGCAAAUUGAUUUCGAAUUCAACCCAGAUUGCUUGAUUACUAUCCCUCUAUGGGUGACCUUUCCUGGGUUGCCAGUGAGAUAUUGGUCUACUGUGGGGCAACCUCUUUACACUGAUAAGUAUAUAGAUGUUAUGGAACGUAUCUCUUAUGCUAGAUUCCUAGUUAAAACUGAUGUGUCACAACCUCUUGUGGAUUUUAUUGGGAUAACUACUCCCUCAGGCAUCAUAAACCAAGCUGUUGAUUAUGAUUAGCGACCCAAAUUUUUCACUCACUGUAUCAGAUUUGGUCACACUUUAGAGGAUUGCUGGAUGGGAGGAGCGGAGGUCAAACAGGAUGAGUAUGAAGAAGUACCUAGAAGAAGAAGUAUGAAGAAGUACCUAGAAGAAGAAGGAGAAACAGGAGAAGAAGAAGACAACCUAGGUAAUAUUGGUUGGCUAGAAAUGGUGCCCCAGUGCCUCAAACAACUGAUGACACCAACCUCCCUACUGAUGUGGAACCACAAGAACCACUAGUACAGGAUAGAGGUAAAGAGAAGUGUCUAGAUGAAGAUCAGCUAUUGUCUCAAGCCACUGAUCAUACACAAGAGCUGCAUGAAGCUAUAGUUCCUACUAGUAAUAAUUUUGAUACACAGGGGUGAACACCUGCUACAACUAUCCAAUGGCACCAAAUGGCAGAGUUUGUCUAUUUUGGAAGCCUCAUUUACAAGUACAUAUCAUACUGAAGCAGGAACAGCUCAUCCAUUGCAUUAGAGGACUCAACUACCUCUUUUUCUACUUAUCUUAGUAUUAUUUAUGCCAAGAAUACAGCUCAGGAGAGGACUAGUCUAUGGUCUAACUUGAGUUGAGCUCUAAUAUACAUGAUGCUUGGCUUCUUGCUGGAGAUUUCCACACCAUGUUGUCCUCUAAGGAUAGGUUAGGAUCACCAGUUACACUUGCUGAAACUCAAGACUUUAGGGACUGUGUUGAUAUUAUUCAGUUCACACCACCAAAGGCAAAAGGGUGGAAUUUCACCUUCUGCAACAAGCAACAGAAUGAUGCAAGAGUAUACUCAAAGAUAGACUAGGCAAUGGCCAAUUUUAUUUGGAUGCAAAAUUAUGGGCAAGUGGAAGCUGACUAUCUUAAUCCUGGGCCCUCAGAUUAUUCUCCUAUUUUUAUACAAUACAGGCCCCAAGUGAACUUGCAUCCUAAGCCUUUCAAACUAUUCAUGACUGUUAUGAAACAUCCAGACUUCAGAGGAAUCCUUAGCUCUUCAUAGGCCAAAUACUAUAGUGGCACUCACAUGUUUAGGCUGAAUCAAAAGCUAAAGCACUUGAAGGAUAACUUGAGAAAUCUCAACUCUUAUACGGCCUCCUAUGAACAGAAGCUUAGCCAUGUUAGGCAGCUACUUGAGAUUACUCAGGCAAAGCUUUCAUCAGACCCUCUGAACUAGUUAAUUAUUGAAGAAGAAAAGAAGUGGAGUCUAGAAAUGCAUAAAUAGAGUAGUAUAGAAGAAUCAACACUCAAACAAAAAUCUAAAGCAUGCUGGAUUGCAAAUGGGGAUUCAAAUUCCAAGUAUUUUCAUGCUCAAUGUAAACUCAGAGCUAACAGAAAUAAUAUUGCUUCCAUUUAUGAUAAAGCUGGUGCCGAGCUUACUGACCCUAUGCUGGUGGAAUAGGAAUUUAUAUCUUUCUUCACUAGCUUAAUGGGCACUGUUGUUGAUACCAUGCCAUGUGUCACACCCUAACCUUGGUAAGGCGUGACUGGCACUCGGCACCAUACGGCAACCGAGCGAACCAACUGUAACUCACAUUUUCUGUAUCUCGAAAGGCAACAUAAGACCAAGGUACUAUAAGCCAUAGGGGCACAAGCCUAAAAGAUAACAUACUUACGUCUUCAAACUAAUCUCGAGUGCAUGUGCCGGUAAGGCUAUCCAUAAUAUUGAUACAACAUAAUACAAGUCGAGAUAAUUAUAAGAUAUCUAACUGUGCAUAUCUAUCUACGAGCCUCUACAGGAAUACAUGACAUAAAGUGGUCGGAACAGGGUCACGCCAUACCCAUGCAAAUGCAUCUGCAGCCAUGCUGACUCACGGGGCAACUCGGGAGCAAGUGGAGUGCCACGACUCUGCCUGCUGAGCUGGUAUCCCUACUGAAAGAUUCGUCAAGUUGUAUUUCAAGACCUGUGGGCAUGAAACGCAGCGCCCCCAGCAAAGGGACGUCAGUACGAGCAAUGUACUGAGUAUGCAAGGCGGAAAGUGCAACAAAAUAGCCAUAUACUAAAGAUGAGAAGAAUAAGAAUUAACCUGGCAUUUCUAAGCUACCGAUGGAAAUCUAGCAUAUAUAUACAUACCUCUUCAUCUUCUUGUAAUCUUUACCAGGUCUGUAUACCCUACCAUAGUCCUAGUUACCUUAUCAUCAAAUGUUAUCUAAACAUGUGUUGCGGCGUGUAACCCGAUCCAUAUAUGACACAUGUCUCUCUCUAUACUCUUGCAUGCUUAACCAUAUCUAUGUACAGUACUGUGCCUUUAUCUUACUAAUCAUCCUAUACUAACUGCCCAACUGAUCAGUGGUAACUGCCCGACCGGCUGCAGCCCAGUGGUAAUCGCCCGACGGUAGAGCGCAACUGCCCAACUGAUCAGCGGUAACUGCCCGACCGGCUGUAGCACGAUGGUAACUGCCUGACUGGCUGCAGUCCAGUGGUAAAUAUAUACAUACAUAUCUGCCCGACCGGCUGUAGCACGGUGGUAACUGCCCGACUGGCUGCAGUCUAGUGGUAAAUAUAUACAUACAUAUCUGCCCAACUGGUCGUAGCACAGUGGUAAUAACUGCCCAACCAGCCGUAGCAUGGUGGUAAAUACAUAACUGCCCAACCAGCCGUAGCAUGGUGGUAAAUACAUAACUGCCCAACUGGUCGUAGACCAGUGGUAAAUACAUACCUGCCCAACCGAACUUAGCCCAGUGGUAUCAUUUGCCCAACUGGUCGUAGACCAGUGGCAAUUAUAAUCAACAUUAUAACUAAGCAUCUACAAGUAAUCUCUAUGCACUUCUCGUGGUCAUCACUUAACCCGUAGGAUCUACAUAAUGACAUAAGACUUAUAAGCACAGCUCAGUCCAUUAGUACUUAUUUCCGCUUGACUAAACACUAACCAAGUCCUAAGAUACAACAUAACCCUCUCUUCGAACAUUAAAUACUUCAUUAGGGACCCUCUACUAGCACUCUAUUCAUGUCCCACAAAACAUUCCUUAAGACACCUUCCUAAACUCGUUGGAUUGUUGGAACUAUCGUCAUCGCUAUCUCUCACCUUGAAGGAACAAGUAUCAUAAGGUGAGAUCAAUCACAAUGAAUAAUUCCAAAGGUCAUGAAUAAGCUCAAUAAUAUCAUAAGGAUCAUGAGAUUCAUAGGCUUCUAGCAUUUGUGGAAGCAACGAUAUUAUGGAUACAGUACAAAGGUUUACAACAAGGAAACAUGCCUUUAGAAAGAAAGGGUUUAGCCUUAACAUACCUGGAAUCUUAGUCCUUGGCCUUCCCAUUUAUCUCCUGACUUGUAAUCUACAUAUAAAAUCGUUCAUACUAUUAUUAGGCUCACCAUCAUACACUUGUCUUAAGCCUUUAAUUAAAAUCCCUUUAGAAUCUGCCGAAAUUCGGGCAGCCUCUCCCCUGUUUAUAUGCCUAACCUAAAAUCUCAAUUCAGCAACCAAUAACAACAACAACGAUAAUACCAACAUCCACAACAAUAUUAUCAACGCCAAAAUAUUCCAUAAACAUCUCACACGAUGUUUUAUCCAAUUUCUCAACCCACAAAUCCACUAUACGAUUAUUCUACAACUCUACUUCCGUAAAUAAACUUAUAUCCAUAUCAAUAAGGAGAGAUUCAUACCUUAUUCCCACUAGUACCGCGAUAUCUCCAAUAUUUGCCUUAAAUUCCAACCAAUAUUCACCGCAAUACGAUAGUAUAAUCGCAACUACGCGCUGUCCAAACUUAAAUCAGGAGAUUAUACUUCAUUCGCGUUAAAAUCUUGUGGACAGAAAUUGGGAGAAUUUUCUAGAAGGCAUGGGAAAUAUUUGGAGAAUUCUUGGCUGAAAAAUGAGGUUUUGGAUCAGAUUUGGUCCUUAAAUAGUGGGUCAAA